GGUGGCUCAGUGGUAGAGCGCUUGCCUUGCAUGCAUGAGGCCUUGGGUUCUUGCAUGCAUGAGGCCUUGGGUUCAAUUCCUCAGCACCA
rnacentral:tRNA from 1 species